UCCUCUCUGACUCCACUUGCUCCUUGAAGGGUGGGAUUCUGCGCUGUGUGUGUAGAGCAGAAGCCCGACCUAAUGCCACUCUGCACUGGAUGAUCAAUGGAAGCAGCACUCUCCAUCCUCCUUUACUUCCAUCACCAUAUACAGAGAAAAUAUGGUGUCACAGAAGUCAUUGGGCCUGUGGAAAGACGCCCGAAUGUCUCUGCGUAGCCAGUAACUCACUGGCCACUGACAUCCAGCAGCUGCCCCUUGACACAAAAUUCACAGCUGGACAGUUUCUGCCAUGGAUGCUGACUGCUCUGGCAGUUGGAAGUGUCUUUCUGUGGGGAGCUGUAAUGUGUGUACGCAGAAUACGUUGCAGAGAGAGACCAAAGGCCAGCUCUAAUCUCCCCACUUUGGAUAUCCCUCUAAGGUACUCUCAUUUUUGCAUUUGCAUUUUACAUA